GACCGGGUGGCGUAGUUGGUCAGCGCGUGAACCUUACAGCAGAAAGGCUAUUGAAGUUCAAGGUCCUGAGUUUGAGCCUCAGCCUGGUCA